rnacentral:rRNA from 1 species
GAUGAACGCUGGCGGCGUGCUUAAUACAUGCAAGUCGAGCGAACAGACGCGUUUCUUGCUCCUCUGACGUUAGCCGCGUACGUGUGAGUAACAUGUGGUUAACUUACCUUUAAGAUUGGUUUAACUUCGUGAAACCGGUGCUAAUUCCGGAUACUAUCUUGAUCCUCAUGGUUCAAUAGUUUAAGACGUUUUUGCUGUCCUUUCUAGUUAUAUCCUCGCCGCAUUAGCUGUUUGGUAAGGUAACGGCUUACCAAGGCCACCAUGCGUAGCCGACCUGAGAGGGUGAACGGCCCCACUGGAACUGAGACACGGUACAGACUCCUAGGGGAGGCAGAAGUAGGGAAGCGACCGAGAAGGGCGAAAGACUGAAGGAGCAACGCAGCGUGGGUGAUGAAGGUCUUCGGAUCGUAAAACUCUGUUAUUAGGGAAGAACAAAUGUGUAAGGAACUAUGCACGUCUUGACGGUACCUGAUCAGAAAGCCACGGCUAACUACGUG